rnacentral:rRNA from 1 species
GACGAACGCUGGCGGCGUGCCUAAUACAUGCAAGUAGAACGCUGAGGGAGGAGCUUUCUCUUCUGGAUGAGUUGCGAACGGGGGAGUAACGCGUAGGGAACAUGCCCGUUAACGGGGGAUAACUAUUGGAAACGAUAGCUAAUACCGCAUAACAGUAGAUGUUGCAUAAGAUUUGCUAAAAAGAUGCAAUUUUACCACUACCAGAUGGACCUGCGUUGUAUUAUCUAGUUGGUGGGGUAACGGCUCAACAAGGCGACGAUACAUAGCCGACCUGAGAGGGGGGUCGGCCCCCCUGGGACUUGGACACCGCCCCGGCUCCUACGGGAGGCAGCAGUAGGGAAUCUUCGGCAAUUGACGGAAGUCUGACCGGGCCACGCCGCCUGAGUGAAGAAGGUUUUCGGGUCGUUAAGCUCUGUUGUAAGGGAAGAAAGAGUGUGGGAGUGGACAGUUCACACUGUGACGGUAUCUUAUCAGAAAGGGACGGCUAACUACGUG